GACGAACGCUGGCGGCGUGCUUAACACAUGCAAGUCGAACGGUGAACGAGGGAGCUUGCUCCCUCCGGAUCAGUGGCGAACGGGUGAGUAACACGUGAGCAAUCUGCCCCGAACUCUGGGAUAAGCGUUGGAAACGACGUCUAAUACCGGAUACGACGCGGGAGGGCAUCCUCUCCGCGUGGAAAGAACUUCGGUUCGGGAUGAGCUCGCGGCCUAUCAGCUUGUUGGUGAGGUAACGGCUCACCAAGGCGACGACGGGUAGCCGGCCUGAGAGGGUGACCGGCCACACUGGGACUGAGACACGGCCCAGACUCCUACGGGGGGCAGCAGUGGGGAAUAUUGCACAAUGGGCGCAAGCCUGAUGCAGCAACGCCGGGUGAGGGACGACGGCCUUCGGGUUGUAAACCUCUUUUAGCAGGGAAGAAGCGAAAGUGACGGUACCUGCAGAAAAAGCACCGGCUAACUACGUG
rnacentral:rRNA from 1 species